rnacentral:pre_miRNA from 1 species
UUAGUACUCCCUCCGUCCGAAAAUACUCGUCAUCAAAAUGGAUAAAAAGAGAUGUAUCUCAAACUAAAAUAUGUCUAGAUACAUCCUCUUUUAUUCAUUUUGAUGACAAGUAUUUUAGGACAGAGGGAGUAUUAU